rnacentral:rRNA from 1 species
AAACGACUCUCGGCAACGGAUAUCUCGGCUCACGCAUCGAUGAAGAACGUAGCRAAAUGCGAUACUUGGUGUGAAUUGCA